rnacentral:rRNA from 1 species
UACGAAGGGGGCUAGCGUUGUUCGGAAUUACUGGGCGUAAAGCGCACGCAGGCGGCUCGAUAAGUUAGAAGUGAAAGCCCCGGGCUUAACCUGGGAAUUGCUUUUAAGACUGUCGGGCUAGAAUCCAGGAGAGGGUAGUGGAAUUCCGAGUGUAGAGGUGAAAUUCGUAGAUAUUCGGAAGAACACCAGUGGCGAAGGCGACUACCUGGUCUGGCAUUGACGCUCAUGUGCGAAAGCGUGGGGAGCAAACAGG